AUUUACACUCUUGCUGGGAAGUCCAGUUGCACACUUGGAGAUUCCUCGCACACUCACAAGCCUCCCUGGCAGGGGUGGCGUCUGGUGACAGGGAUCCAGGUGAAACAUUGACCACUUCCCGGAAAGGUCCUUGGCCCCUGGCCAGCGUCACAGUCCGGCCGGAAAGGCCAGAGGGCAACCAACUGGACCCAAAGAGAGGCAACCACUGACCGGCUGGACAGCUGGACAGGGACCCUCGGAGUGGACAAUUAGCCCGGGGCAGCCACAAUGACCACCGACCUCUGGGAGCUGAUGCAGCACCGGAAGCUGCUCCAGAUGAUCUUCGUUUUGGGAUUCGGGGGGACCUUCCAGGCCGGGUUCCAGGUCUCCAUGAUCACCUUCACUUCUCCGCAUGUGAAGUCCUUCCUGAACGCCUCUUGGACGGAGCGCUCUGGGGGCCUCCCUCUCCCCCCAGAGACCCUCACCCUCCUCUGGUCCCUGGUGGUCUCCAUCUUUGCCCUCGGAGGACUCCUCGGGUCCAUGGCCAGCGGCUACCUGGCCGCCAAGUAUGGCAAGAAGCGGUGCCUUCUGGCCAACAACCUUGCGAUGCUGGCCGGGUCCCUCCUUCUGGGCCUCAGCCGGGUGGCUGCCUCCUUUGAGCUGAUGCUGGCUGGACGCUUCCUCUGCGGACUCUGCACCGGGCUGAGCGUCCCCCUCCAUCCGCAGUUCCUGGGGGAGGCCUCCCCAAAGACCCUCCGCGGCUUCGCCAACUCCACCGCCUCCGCCUUCUGGAGCCUUGGGAAGGUCUUCGGGCAGGUCAUGGGCCAGAGGGAGGUCCUGGGCGAUGGCUCUCGGUGGCCCAUCCUGAUGGCCCUCAGUGGCCUCCCGGCCCUGGCCCAGCUCCUGGCCCUGCCUUUCUUCCCAGAAUCCCCUCCGCACCUCUUCCUCCACCGAGGAGACGAGGAAGGAUGCAGGAAAGCCAUGAGGGCCCUCUGGGGUGAAGGCCGGCCUUGGCAGCAGCAGCAGGAGAUGGAGGACCUGCGGAAGGAGAAGCAGUCCCAGCGCAGCGGUGCCCAGCGCAGCCUCGGUGUAUCGGACUUGCUGCGGGAGCGGAGGUUGCGCGCCCAGCUGUUCCUCGUGGUCCUCAUCUCCGUCGCCGUGCAGCUCAGUGGGAUCCAGGCAAUCUACAGUUACACCUUUGAGGUCCUGAGUGCCGCUGGGUUCGAGGACGACCAGAUCCCGCACCUCUCCCUCGGCCUCAGCACCUUUGAGCUCCUCUCCACCUUCCUCUGCGUGAGAGAUGGGUACUCAGACCUCACAAGGCCAGGGCCUGGCUCUGGUUUCCCACCCGCCAAGCCCGGCUCAAAGUGGCUUUGCGUGAUGGCGCUGCUACGAAUAACGAGGGACUCCAGGCCGGCCGUUGCUCACAGCGCAGGUCAGGUCUUGCAAAGCCACUGCCCAACUUCCACAAACCACACACGGAAAGUUGAAAUGAGAUGCUGUGGCAGGGAUCUAUUAUGUAUCCUGACAAUUCUGGAUCUUGUCUUAACAGACACUUUUGCCCUGACUCCUUCCCCAUUUUCAUGCAGUUUCAUUCUUGUGUCUGAGAGAGAGAGAGAGAGAGAGGGGGGGGGGGGGGGGGGCAGGGGCAGAGACCUGCCCCCCCCCCCAAAUUAUCUUAAGGGUUUAUUUUGGAUGCAUUAAAAUCCUUUGCAAUGUUUCCCUCCUGGCUUUCCUGGACAGCACCUGCAUCCCUGGGUUCCUUAUGGCAGCCUCUGCCUCAUUUUCGGCAUCGUCUUCUCCUUUGGGAUGGGACCCGCUGGCGCCACUUCCUCGGUCCGGAUGGAGAUCUUUGACCAGUCCUCCCGGGCGUCCGCUUUUGUGGUCAGUGG